UAGUGGCAGACGGGUGAGUAACACGUGAACAAUCUACCCUUGAGAGGGGAAUAACCCCGCGAAAGCGGGGCUAAUACCGCAUAACAUCCCAGGGUCGCAUGGCUUGGGGAUCAAAGGCUUCGGUCACUCAAGGAGGAGUUCGCGGCUGAUUAGCUAGUUGGUGAGGUAACGGCCCACCAAGGCGACGAUCAGUAGCCGGCCUGAGAGGGCGUACGGCCACACUGGAACUGAGACACGGUCCAGACUCCUACGGGAGGCAGCAGUGGGGAAUUUUGCGCAAUGGGCGAAAGCCUGACGCAGCAACGCCGCGUGGAGGAUGAAGGCCUUCGGGUCGUAAACUCCUGUCAGGGGGGACGAAACGCCCGGCAACGGGCUCUGACUGUACCCUCUGAGGAAGCCACGGCUAACUCCGUGCCAGCAGCCGCGGUAAUACGGAGGUGGCAAGCGUUGUUCGGAAUUACUGGGCGUAAAGGGCGCGUAGGCGGCUAGGCAAGUCAGGUGUGAAAGCCCCGGGCUUAACUCGGGAAUUGCAUCUGAAACUGCCGUGCUUGAGUUCUGGAGGGGGUAGUGGAAUUCCCAGUGUAGCGGUGAAAUGCGUAGAUAUUGGGAGGAACACCUGCGGCGAAGGCGGCUACCUGGACAGAAAC
rnacentral:rRNA from 1 species